rnacentral:rRNA from 1 species
AAAUGAAUUGACGGGGACCCGCACAAGCGGUGGAUGAUGUGGAUUAAUUCGAUGCAACGCGAAAAACCUUACCUACCCUUGACAUGUCAGGAAGUCCGCUGAGAGGUGGAUGUGCCCGAAAGGGAACCUGAACACAGGUGCUGCAUGGCUGUCGUCAGCUCGUGUCGUGAGAUGUUGGGUUAAGUCCCGCAACGAGCGCAACCCUUGUCAUUAAUUGCCAUCAUUCAGUUGGGCACUUUAAUGAGACUGCCGGUGACAAACCGGAGGAAGGUGGGGAUGACGUCAAGUCCUCAUGGCCCUUAUGGGUAGGGCUUCACACGUCAUACAAUGGUCGGUACAGAGGGUCGCCAACCCGCGAGGGGGAGCCAAUCCCACAAAGCCGAUCGUAGUCCGGAUCGCAGUCUGCAACUCGACUGCGUGAAGUCGGAAUCGCUAGUAAUCGUGGAUCAGCAUGUCACGGUGAAUACGUUCCCGGGUCUUGCACACACCGCCCGU